GUCAUUGCGUACGUACGGCUUAUGGCUGAUUGCACUUUGUGGUAUUUGUAGCCAUAGCCACGUUGGUCAUGGACGUUGUUCGUUUAAAAUAGCAAGUAUUGUGUAUUUUUGUGUUGAAUAAGUCAAACAAAGCUGUGCUUUUAGCUGCACUUUCGAAGCCAAGAAGAGAGGGAAGCAGCAAGAAGAAGAAUAUGACUGAUGAACAUCUGCAGAGCAAGUUGGCAGAACACAAAAGCAACUGCAUUGUGUGGAAAUCACUUCACUCCAGACCAGUUUCAAACAAAUUGAGCUGGUGGAGUGAUAAAACUUAAACCAGAUGCUGUGCCAACCAGUUUUGGUGAUCGUAAGCUACCAGAGGGAUGUAAAGCUGCUGCUGAGAGGAAACCUGUCGGCCUACUAGAGAAACGAACUGAGGAUACCGAGGUUGGAGAGCCUUCAAAUGUGACCAAUGACAUCAGUCCUGCGGAGAACUAGGACACUACAGAAGAUGAUGUCCCCACCCUGAAGAACCUAGUACAACAGCUUCAGGCUGGAAUUGAAGCUUUAGAGGGAAAACUCAACCUCUCUCAGAAAGAGAAAUGAGAGUGUGUUUAGAAAAAGACAACCUCCUUGCCAGUCUGCAUGGUUUAUUUGGUACAGAUUGGUUUGCAGUAUUAACAAAAGGGACAUGUAGAGGUAGCAAAUGGUCAGUGGAAACACUGCAGAAGUGGCUAAAAAUUAGACUAGCUUGUGGUGGUAUGGGGAACAAACCCCUGUCUUGUGUUACGCGAAUGCACGUCGGAGCACUUAGUUGCAUUAUUUUUAUGGCCCACAAAGAA